UACGUAGGGUGCGAGCGUUAAUCGGAAUUACUGGGCGUAAAGCGUGCGCAGGCGGUUUUUUAAGCCCGAUGUGAAAGCCCCGGGCUUAACCUGGGAAUGGCAUUUGGGACUGCAAGGCUUGAGUGCGGCAGAGGAGACUGGAAUUCCCGGUGUAGCAGUGAAAUGCGUAGAUAUCGGGAGGAAUACCGAUGGCGAAGGCAGGUCUCUGGGCUGACACUGACGCUCAUGCACGAAAGCGUGGGGAGCAAACAGG
rnacentral:rRNA from 1 species